UACGUAGGGUGCAAGCGUUGUCCGGAAUUAUUGGGCGUAAAGGGCUCGUAGGCGGUCCAUCGCGUCGGGAGUGAAAAGCUGGGGCUUAACCCCAGUCCUGCUUCCGAUACGGGUGGACUAGAGGUAGGCAGGGGAGAACGGAAUUCCUGGUGUAGCGGUGAAAUGCGUAGAUAUCAGGAAGAACACCAGUGGCGAAGGCGCUCUACUGGGCCGUAACUGACACUGAGGGACGAAAGCUAGGGGAGCGAACAGG
rnacentral:rRNA from 1 species